rnacentral:rRNA from 1 species
GGGGCAACCCUGAUCCAGCCAUCCCCCGUGUGUGAAGAAGGCCUUCGGGUUGUAAAGCACUUUUGUCCGGAAAGAAAACUUCUGGGUUAAUACCCCGGGAGGAUGACGGUACCCGAAGAAUAAGAACCGGGUAACUUCGUGCCCG